rnacentral:rRNA from 1 species
CGAAGCGUGCGAUUGGAUUGCACGUCUAAGCAGUAAGGCUGAGUAUUAGGCAAAUCCGGUACUCAUUAAGGCUGAGCUGUGAUGGGGAGAAGACAUUGUGUCUUCGAGUCGUUGAUUUCACACUGCCGAGAAAAGCCUCUAGAUAGAAAAUAGGUGCCCGUACCGCAAACCGACACAGGUAGUCAAGAUGAGAAUUCUAAGGUGAGCGAGCGAACUCUCGUUAAGGAACUCGGCAAAAUGACCCCGUAACUUCGGGAGAAGGGGUGCUCUUUAGGGUUAACGCCCAGAAGAGCCGCAGUGAAUAGGCCCAAGCGACUGUUUAUCAAAAACACAGGUCUCUGCUAAACCGUAAGGUGAUGUAUAGGGGCUGACGCCUGCCCGGUGCUGGAAGGUUAAGAGGAGUGGUUAGCUUCUGCGAAGCUACGAAUCGAAGCCCCAGUAAACGGCGGCCGUAACUAUAACGGUCCUAAGGUAGCGAAAUUCCUUGUCGGGUAAGUUCCGACCCGCACGAAAGGCGUAACGAUUUGGGCACUGUCUCAACGAGAGACUCGGUGAAAUCAUAGUACCUGUGAAGAUGCAGGUUACCCGCGACAGGACGGAAAGACCCCGUGGAGCUUUACUGUAGCCUGAUAUUGAAAUUCGGCACAGCUUGUACAGGAUAGGUAGGAGCCUUUGAAACGUGAGCGCUAGCUUACGUGGAGGCGCUGGUGGGAUACUACCCUAGCUGUGUUGGCUUUCUAACCCGCACCACUUAUCGUGGUGGGAGACAGUGUCAGGCGGGCAGUUUGACUGGGGCGGUCGCCUCCUAAAAGGUAACGGAGGCGCUCAAAGGUUCCCUCAGAAUGGUUGGAAAUCAUUCAUAGAGUGUAAAGGCAUAAGGGAGCUUGACUGCGAGACCUACAAGUCGAGCAGGGUCGAAAGACGGACUUAGUGAUCCGGUGGUUCCGCAUGGAAGGGCCAUCGCUCAACGGAUAAAAGCUACCCCGGGGAUAACAGGCUUAUCUCCCCC